rnacentral:rRNA from 1 species
CCGCGGGAUUAGAGUUUGAUCCUGACUCAGAUUGAACGCUGGCGGCAUGCCUUACACAUGCAAGUCUAACGGCAGCACUGGAGCAAUCCUGGUGGCGAGUGGCGAACGGGUGAGUAAUACAUCUGAACGUGCCCAAUCGUGGGGGAUAACUACGCGAAAGCGUACCUAAUACCGCAUACGAUCUACCGAUGAAAGCGGGGGAUCGCAAGACCUCGCGCGAGUGGAGCGGCUGAUGGCAGAUUAGGUAGUUGGCGGGGUAAAAGCUCACCAAGCCUGCGAUCUGUAGCUGGUCUGAGAGGACGACCACCCACAGUGGGACUGAGACACGGCCCAUACUCCUACGGGAGGCAGCAGUGGGGAAUUUUGGACAAUGGGCGCAAGCCUGAUCCAGCUAUGCCGCGUGCACGAUGAAGGCCUUCGGGUUGUAAACUGCUUUUGUACGGAACGAAAAGGCUUUUUCUAAUACAUAAAGUCAAUGACGGUACCGUAAGAAUAAGCACCGGCUAACUACGUGCCAGCAGCCGCGGUAAUACGUAGGGUGCGAGCGUUCAUCGGAAUUACUGGGCGUAAAGCGUGCGCAGGCGGUCUUGUAAGACAGGUGUGAAAUCCCCGGGCUUAACCUGGGAAUUGCAUUUGUGACUGCGAGGCUGGAGUGCGGCAGAUGGGGAUGGAAUU